GUGCUCGCUUCGGUACCACGUAUACUAAAAUUGGAAGCAUACGGAGAAGAUUAGCAUGGCCCCUGCACAA
rnacentral:snRNA from 1 species